GGCUCCAAUCUGAUUUGGCAGAGUUUCUACAGCUGGAUGCCCUUCGUAAAAGCACCCACUACACUCUCGGAGGGGUUGGCGUCAGGAAGGGCAUCCAGCUGUAGAAACUCUGCCAGAUCAGAUUGGAGCCU
rnacentral:pre_miRNA from 1 species